GAUGAACGCUGGCAGCGUGCCUAAUACAUGCAAGUCGAGCGAACAGACGAGGAGCUUGCUCCUCUGACGUUAGCGGCGGACGGGUGAGUAACACGUGGAUAACCUACCUAUAAGACUGGGAUAACUUCGGGAAACCGGAGCUAAUACCGGAUAAUAUAUUGAACCGCAUGGUUCAAUAGUGAAAGACGGUUUUGCUGUCACUUAUAGAUGGAUCCGCGCCGCAUUAGCUAGUUGGUAAGUUAACGGCUUACCAAGGCAAGGAUGCGUAGACGAACUGAGAGGGUGAUAGGCCACACUGGAACUGGGACACGGUCCAGAGUCCUACGGGAGGCAGCAGUAGGGAAUCUUCCGCAAUGGGCGAAAGCCUGACGGAGCAGCGCCGCGUGAGUGAUGAAGGUCUUCGGAUCGUAAAACUCUGUUAUUAGGGAAGAACAAAUGUGUAAGUAAAUAUGCCCGUCUUGACGGUACCUAAUCAGAAAGCCACGGCUAACUACGUG
rnacentral:rRNA from 1 species